CCCACCUAAGCAUUGGUUACUAAACCCAAAAUUAGUUGCCAAUGUUAAAUAAAUAGGUACAUAAAUUGAAUAAAUAACAAAAUAAUUAAAAAUCCAGAAGGACAUACGAUUUUCUAGUCAACGGGAAAUGCUUUUAUUUUGACAAGCGUGUUGCUUGGAUACCAGAAUUCGUUUAUUUUACGUUCUACUCGAUAACGUUACACUUGAAUGAAUAGACUUUGAAUCAAAACCUUUUACUCCUUGACACCUUUCUAUCGUGAAUAAUUUUUAAUACCUCUUCAGUCGUUUUACUAUUUCUACUUUGUCCUUAAUCUUCCCUCAUUGUUUUCAUGUCUUUAUCCACUUCUUUUGAACGCCACCCACACUACUAAAUUUGGAGGCAGUAACCUGAAGGGGAAGGAGAAGCUGCCACUGCUCGGAACCCGGAGUAUACAGCACAAUAAAACGCCCGGCAGCAGCAGUAGGAGGAGGGGAGGAGGAGGAGAAGCAGCAGCAGCACAUCAAGUCAUCGGCCAGGAACUCCCAAAUUAAAU